GCGACCCCUAAUGGGAGCAGCCGAAAGAAGAAGAAAAAGUGUAGGUAAGAAUUCCCAUUCAGUUGUAUUUCCACGCUUCACCACUAGAGGCACAGUUUACCACUCAUCAUAAGCUACCUCUGACAUCACAGUGCACCGUUCUCCAUCAAGAGUAUAAAAGGCCAGAACACUGAGCAGCAGUCGGCAUUCGACAUCAGCCAUCUACCGAACAGCAGCGAGCAAUUGACGGCAAGAAUCACAUACGAUUAAUUCUAAACCCAGUAAAGCUUGAGUGUGAAGAAUCCUGUACCGUGUUUUUACUGACACGCUGAGGCGAGUACAAUCUCCUGAUCAGCACACACUAUCUGAGAUGAGGCGGGUAGACGAUGAAAUAAUGCAGGAAGUCAC